GCCGGAGUGGUGGAACUGGUAGACGCGCCAGACUCAAAAUCUGGUGAUGGCAACAUCGUGAGAGUUCAAGUCUCUCCUCCGGCACCA
rnacentral:tRNA from 1 species